AAUUCCAGCGAGAGACAGAGGGAGUGAGCGGACGGUUGGAAGAGCCGUGUGUGCAGAGCCGCGCUCCGGGGCGACCUAAGAAGGCAGCUCUGGAGUGAGAGGGGCUUUGCCUCCGAGCCUGCCGCCCACUCUCCCCAACCCUGCGACUGACCCAACAUCAGCGGCCGCAACCCUCGCCGCCGCUGGGAAACUUUGCCCAUUGCAGCGGGCAGACACUUCUCACUGGAACUUACAAUCUGCGAGCCAGGACAGGACUCCCCAGGCUCCGGGGAGGGAAUUUUUGUCUAUUUGGGGACAGUGUUCUCUGCCUC
rnacentral:other from 1 species